GACGAACGCUGGCGGCGUGCUUAACACAUGCAAGUCGAACGGUGAAAGAGAGCUUGCUCUCUGGAUCAGUGGCGAACGGGUGAGUAACACGUGAGCAAUCUGCCCCUGACUCUGGGAUAAGCGCUGGAAACGGCGUCUAAUACCGGAUACGAGCUGCGAAGGCAUCUUCAGCAGCUGGAAAGAACUUCGGUCAGGGAUGAGCUCGCGGCCUAUCAGCUAGUUGGUGAGGUAAUGGCUCACCAAGGCGUCGACGGGUAGCCGGCCUGAGAGGGUGACCGGCCACACUGGGACUGGGACACGGCCCAGACUCCUACGGGAGGCAGCAGUGGGGAAUAUUGCACAAUGGGCGCAAGCCUGAUGCAGCAACGCCGCGUGAGGGACGACGGCCUUCGGGUUGUAAACCUCUUUUAGCAGGGAAGAAGCGAAAGUGACGGUACCUGCAGAAAAAGCACCGGCUAACUACGUGCCAGCCGCCGCGGUAA
rnacentral:rRNA from 1 species